GGCCCGGUGGCUCAGUUGGUUAGAGCGCCGCCCUGUCACGGCGGAGGUCGACGGUUCAAGUCCGUUCCGGGUCG
rnacentral:tRNA from 1 species